UGCAAGUCGAGCGGCAGCACGGGGAGCUUGCUCCCUGGUGGCGAGCGGCGGACGGGUGAGUAAUGCAUAGGAAUCUGCCCGGUAGUGGGGGAUAACCUGGGGAAACCCAGGCUAAUACCGCAUACGUCCUACGGGAGAAAGCAGGGGAUCUUCGGACCUUGCGCUAUCGGAUGAGCCUAUGUCGGAUUAGCUGGUUGGUGAGGUAAUGGCUCACCAAGGCGACGAUCCGUAGCUGGUCUGAGAGGAUGAUCAGCCACACUGGGACUGAGACACGGCCCAGACUCCUACGGGAGGCAGCAGUGGGGAAUAUUGGACAAUGGGCGCAAGCCUGAUCCAGCCAUGCCGCGUGUGUGAAGAAGGCCCUCGGGUUGUAAAGCACUUUCAGCGAGGAAGAAGGCUUGGCGGUCAAUACCCGUCAAGAAGGACAUCACUCGCAGAAGAAGCACCGGCUAACUCCGUGCCAGCAGCCGCGGUAAUACGGAGGGUGCGAGCGUUAAUCGGAAUUACUGGGCGUAAAGCGCGCGUAGGUGGUUUGGCACGCCGGUUGUGAAAGCCCCGGGCUCAACCUGGGAACGGCAUCCGGAACGGCCAGACUAGAGUGCAGGAGAGGAAGGUAGAAUUCCCGGUGUAGCGGUGAAAUGCGUAGAGAUCGGGAGGAAUACCAGUGGCGAAGGCGGCCUUCUGGCCUGACACUGACACUGAGGUGCGAAAGCGUGGGUAGCAAACAGGAUUAGAUACCCUGGUAGUCCACGCCGUAAACGAUGUCGACUAGCCGUUGGGACCUUUAAGGACUUAGUGGCGCAGUUAACGCGAU
rnacentral:rRNA from 1 species